CCUACGGGAGGCAGCAGUGGGGAAUAUUGGACAAUGGGCGAAAGCCUGAUCCAGCCAUGCCGCGUGUGUGAAGAAGGCCUUCGGGUUGUAAAGCACUUUCAGUGGGGAAGAAAGCCUUGGGGCUAAUACCCUCGAGGAAGGACAUCACCCACAGAAGAAGCACCGGCUAACUCCGUGCCAGCAGCCGCGGUAAUACGGAGGGUGCGAGCGUUAAUCGGAAUUACUGGGCGUAAAGCGCGCGUAGGCGGUCUGAUAAGCCGGUUGUGAAAGCCCCGGGCUCAACCUGGGAACGGCAUCCGGAACUGUCAGGCUAGAGUGCAGGAGAGGAAGGUAGAAUUCCCGGUGGAGCGGUGAAAUGCGUAGAGAUCGGGAGGAAUACCAGUGGCGAAGGCGGCCUUCUGGACUGACACUGACGCUGAGGUGCGAAAGCGUGGGUAGCAAACAGGAUUAGAUACCCGAGUAGUC
rnacentral:rRNA from 1 species